rnacentral:rRNA from 1 species
GAUGAACGCUGGCGGCGUGCCUAAUACAUGCAAGUCGAGCGAACGGACGAGAAGCUUGCUUCUCUGAUGUUAGCGGCGGACGGGUGAGUAACACGUGGAUAACCUACCUAUAAGACUGGGAUAACUUCGGGAAACCGGAGAUAAUACCGGAUAAUAUUUUGAACCGCAUGGUUCAAAAGUGAAAGACGGUCUUGCUGUCACUUAUAGAUGGAUCCGCGCUGCAUUAGCUAGUUGGUAAGGUAACGGCUUACCAAGGCAACGAUGCAUAGCCGACCUGAGAGGGUGAUCGGCCACACUGGAACUGAGACACGGUCCAGACUCCUACGGGAGGCAGCAGUAGGGAAUCUUCCGCAAUGGGCGAAAGCCUGACGGAGCAACGCCGCGUGAGUGAUGAAGGUCCUCGGAUCGUAAAGCUCUGUUAUUAGGGAAGAACAUAUGUGUAAGUAACUGUGCACAUCUUGACGGUACCUAAUCAGAAAGCCACGGCUAACUACGUG